rnacentral:lncRNA from 1 species
AACCAUUGACACUCCCACUCUUGGUAUUCUGGGUUGCCUUGGCUGCUCUGUUGGCUUAUGCAUGAUGAGUGGGAUCAAGAGGUUUAGCAAGCUUCAAGUUGAUGUCAGAUUCCAUGAGGUGCACUGCAACAGGUCAUUUAUUCAUUCAAUUCCAUGGUUGCACAGAAGAGAUGAGGCGAUGCCAAGAAAAAAGUUGAUAUGUGUGUGUGUGUUUUUGUAAGUUAAAGGGCCAAAAUGUAUUUCUUGUUUGGUAUAUAGCAGCCCUACAGCACUUUGGUGAACUUAGUUACUGCAAAUUAGGUAAUUACAGUUGCACCUUUUGUAUUUUAUAGCAAACCCAGAAUUUUUCAUUGGAUUAUAUGACUGCUCCACUUCUUGUAGUAAAUGCAAGGCUUCCCUGAUAAUGUUUUAAAGAUUGGUCGAAUAGAAGAGACAAUGGUGAUUGAGAUAACUAAAUUCUGGCGUCUUGAUACAUUUUGCUGUAGAGAUUAUUGAGCUAAAUUGCUAAGCUACAAGCAUUCACUGUUCACUGAACCAAAAUUACAUUACUCAAAAACUUAGAACAAGAAUGAGUGCAGCACUCGUUUAUGUGCAACUGGAAACCACAAACUGCAAUUUGUAUGUAAUAAUCGGGUUACAGAGAAACAAACGUUGCCUUGCAGAAUCAAUUAAGAUUAUAAUCUGUCAUUAACCUUGGAAUAAGAAUAAUUCCGUUGCCUUGCAGAAUCAAUUAAGAUUAUAAUCUCUAGUUCGCUGGCUAGAGAACUCUAGGAGCCUAAUUGGUUGCGUGUUCUCACAUAAUAAAAGCUUCCGGGGCCUCUGAGAACGGCAAAGGGAUGUUUUCCUGGUUGUUGUGGGCUACUGCAUCGUUGGAAAAUGUCCUGAUGGGUAUAUCCUUUAAUGAAACUAGAUCACAGAUGUAAACUUCAAUGAAACUAUACCACAGAUUUUUACAUUUGAUACUAAAGCUGUAGUCUGGAGGUAAGUACAGAACGGCAGAUUCAAUAAUUGAUCAAACAGAGCAACUAGCUCCAUUUAAACUAAAAACAGAACCAUAACAACGAAUACUAUAUUACUGCAACUACAUCAUAAGAACAACAAACGAAUUCAUGGAAACAACUUACCUUAGAUUGGAUGCAGGAACAAAUUCUUCCUAACCAUCUACCAUGAAGAAAAACACCCAGCCCUUCAUGGUGCUGCUGCUCUGAAGCCUCGGAGCUCAGAACUGGGCAUAUGCCACCCAUGGCCUGGUAUAUAUAUCCAUAAGAAACCAUAUAUGAAGUGCAGUCUAAGGAUGGGCUGAUGGUUCGCCAGUAGCUUUUGGUUUGUUGGCUGGUUAGUUCAGAGC